AAGUCAUGCUGAGGGCAAUUUAUAAGCAAUCCCUUAUAUCUUUCCCAAGCUUCAUAUAAGGACUCUCCAAUUUCUUGUUGGAAAUUCGCUAUCUUCUUUUUGAGUUU